UGUCGGUCCCCUCGCAACGAUUCGCCGUGAACCCGGUCAGGCCCGGAAGGGAGCAG
rnacentral:SRP_RNA from 1 species